rnacentral:piRNA from 1 species
UGGCAAGAUGCUGAGGGCAGUUUCCAGA